UGGGGGAUAUUGCACAAUGGGCGAAAGCCUGAUGCAGCGACGCCGCGUGGGGGAUGAAGGCCUUCGGGUUGUAAACUUCUUUUGCUCUGAACAAGGCAUGCCUUUGGGGUGUGUUGAGUGUAGGGGUUGAUUAGCGCCGGCUAACUACGUGCCAGCAGCCGCGGUAAUACGUAGGGCGCGAGCGUUGUCCGGAAUUAUUGGGCGUAAAGGGCUUGUAGGUGGUUCGUCGCGUCUGUCGUGAAAGCCAGCAGCUUAACUGUUGGUCUGCGGUGGGUACGGGCGGGCUUGAGGGCGGUAGGGGUGACUGGAAUUCCUGGUGUAGCGGUGGAAUGCGCAGAUAUCAGGAGGAACACCGAUGGCGAAGGCAGGUCACUGGGCCGUUACUGACACUGAGGAGCGAAAGCGUGGGGAGCGAACAGG
rnacentral:rRNA from 1 species